rnacentral:rRNA from 1 species
GACGAACGCUGGCGGCGUGCCUAAUACAUGCAAGUAGAACGCACAGUUUAUACCGUAGCUUGCUACACCAUAGACUGUGAGUUGCGAACGGGUGAGUAACGCGUAGGUAACCUGCCUGGUAGCGGGGGAUAACUAUUGGAAACGAUAGCUAAUACCGCAUAAUAUUAAUUAUUGCAUGAUAAUUAAUUGAAAGGUGCAAUUGCACCACUACCAGAUGGACCUGCGUUGUAUUAGCUAGUAGGUGAGGUAACGGCUCACCUAGGCGACGAUACAUAGCCGACCUGAGAGGGGGAUCGGCCACACUGGGACUGAGACACGGCCCAGACUCCUACGGGAGGCAGCAGUAGGGAAUCUUCGGCAAUGGACGAAAGUCUGACCGAGCAACGCCGCGGGAGUGAAGAAGGUUUUCGGAUCGUAAAGCUCUGUUGUAAGAGAAGAACGGGUGUGAGAGUGGAAAGUUCACACUGUGACGGUAUCUUACCAGAAAGGGACGGCUAACUACGUG